UUUCCGUAGGUGAACCUGCGGAAGGAUCAUUAACACGUAUCCCCAAAACGUACCAACCCCUUUGUACGAACCAUAACCCGCGCUUCGAUUGUGUCCACUUUGUGGCAGUGGCCCAGCUGGGAACGGCUGUUGGUUUGCUGGUGCUGACGUGCUUUUUUGGCAUUUUGGCCGCAUGGUUGAUGCUGCCUACCUUUUUUUCUACAAACACUUUCCUAUUUUGACGGACAAAAUGAAACUUCUGGCUUGCCUUAACAGACAGCUGGAUUUUUUAUCUAGAUAUUGAACGCUGAACAACUUUUAGCAACGGAUAUCUUGGUUCUC
rnacentral:misc_RNA from 1 species